UACAGAGGUCUCAACCGUUGUUCGGAUUCAUUGGGCGUAAAGGGUGUGUAGGUGGCGCGCUAAGUCGGGUGUGAAAUUUUGGAGCUUAACUCCGAAACUGCAUUCGAUACUGGCGUGCUUGAGGACUGGAGAGGAGACUGGAAUUUACGGUGUAGCAGUGAAAUGCGUAGAUAUCGUAAGGAAGACCAGUGGCGAAGGCGGGUCUCUGGACAGUUCCUGACACUGAGACACGAAGGCCAGGGGAGCAAACGGG
rnacentral:rRNA from 1 species